UAUGUUCUAUUUUCAUUUCGUUUCCCAACUUUUAAACUUCCAAGAAACCCUAAAUUUUGGUUCAGUUUUUACGCACAUCUAUAAAAGACUAAGGCUGUAAAUGGUAACCAAAACCGCACCCAAAACCGCACCGCAACAGUGUUGUAACAAUAUCAAAAUCUCUACAUAUACAUAUAUAUAUAUAUAUAUAUGUAUUUUCGUUACUAUUUAAACCGCACCGCACUUCUCCCGCACCAUAAAACGCAGUCACUAUUCAGAACCUAAGAAUAAUAUUCAACAUAUAUGUUGCUUUUUUUGUUACC
rnacentral:sRNA from 1 species